UACGAAGGGUGCAAACGUUGCUCGGAAUUAUUGGGCGUAAAGCGCGUGUAGGCGGCUAUGUAAGUCGGGCGUGAAAUCCCACGGCUCAACCGUGGAAGUGCACCCGAAACUGCGUAGCUAGAGUCCUGGAGAGGAAGGUGGAAUGCUUGGUGUAGAGGUGAAAUUCGUAGAUAUCAAGCGGAACACCGGUGGCGAAGGCGGCCUUCUGGACAGUGACUGACGCUGAGACGCGAAAGCGUGGGGAGCAAACAGG
rnacentral:rRNA from 1 species